CAACGCCCUAGGCCGGGCCACGGCGGGGACCCUGUCCAGGUGGCCGGGAGGGUACAGGAAUCCCUCAGCCCCAAGUCCAUGGCUGGGGAGAAAUCCUCGGGUGGGGGCAGCAGCGUCAGGGCUGACCAUCCACCCCCCAGCCAUGAGCCCGGGGGCUCUGCUACCUGGGAGUCUCUGCUAAUUGGCCCCAGCGCCUCCCAGGCUGAACGUUGCUCAAACAUGUCAACCUUGCUGCUUGAUUGACAACCUGUCACUGUUUCGUGAGGUUUCUGAGGUGUUCCCGGGACUCAGCAACCUUGAAAGUUGGAUAAAGAACUCCAGGAAACUGGCAAGGACCCCACGGCACUCUUGUCACGGCCCAGUGUGCCCAUCUCGGGGCUCCAUCCAGGCCCAGCCAGCCGACAGCCGGAGUCCAUCCAUCACACUGCCCACCACCCUUCCGGCCUGAUACGCCUGGCACCGCCUCCUUCGCGGGCAGGACCAGCACUGUCAGCAGCUCCCCAGGCUCCAAAUGCCAGCGUUGCCACCCAAGCUUGGGAGGGAGAAGCCCAGAGGCCCUGCCGGGCAUCAGAGAGCCCAAGGGUGAAGAGGCUGGGUGCAGUGGCUCACACCUGUAAUCCCAGCACUUUGGGAGGCCAAGGUGGGAGGAUCGCUUGAGCACAGGAAUUUGAGACCAGCCUGGGCAACAUAGAGAGAACCCCUCUCUACAAAAAAAAAAUUCACCGGGUGUGGCGGCACAUGCCUGUAGUCCCAGCUAUUCAGAAGGCUGAGGCAGGAGGAUUCCUUGAGUCCAGGAGUUUGAGGCAGCAGUGAGCUGGAAGUGAGGCGCUGGAGCCACAUCCCGCAGGCGCCAUAACGAAGGGACGUGAGGCCGCAACUGAUGAGCCAAUCCCCAUGCGCCUGCCACGCCAGCCACGCCCCUGCACUGCUGACCCCAGUGUGAGCCCCUGCCUCCAGCCCUGGCCUGACCGAAGCACCCAGCCCCAUCCCUGGUCACAAUGACCUCCUGCCAAGCUUUCAGCAGGCGUUUUCUCAGCAGCUCCCUGCAACAUUUAGUCACAAGCCCAUUUUUCAGGAGAGGAAACUGAGGCGCAGGGAGAGUGAGCCUGAGGGACCUGCCCUGGUGGGUGCAUACCCCCACAAGCCCUGGAUCCCCAAUCCACUGCCCAGGGGUGCACCCAAAGAGGUGGGUUUGGCCCUCCUGGACCACCCUGGAUCCUCUUGUGCAGGAGGGACUCCAAGUAGACUGAGGAGCUCUUCCCUUCCAGCAGUUGAGAUGUGGAGGGAGAAGGAAGAAGGGGGAGAGUGUUUACCAGCCAAGAGGACGUGGGAUGGGUGUGAGGCUGGCCUUUGAGGAGCAUGGACUGGGCGGGGACCUACCGGUGGGUUGUACAUGGGGAAGCCCAUGGGCCCCGAGCAGGGAACCUGGAAUAAUUGAACAUAAAAAUUCACAUGCAUUUGGCCAGGCGCAGUGGCUCACACCUGUGAUCCCAGCAUUUUGGGAGGCCGAGGUGGGAGGAUCACUUGAGGUCAGGAGUUUGAGACCAGUCUGGCUAACAUGGCGAAACCCCGUCUCUACUAAAAAUACAAAAAAAUUAGCCAGGCGUGGUGGCGCACGCCUAUAGUCCCAGCUACUUGGGAGGCUGAGGCAGGAGAAUUGCUUGAACCCAGGAGGUGGAGGUUAC
rnacentral:lncRNA from 10 species